GUUUCUACAAAGAUGAAACUACUAAAACUUACAGGUUUUAUUUUUUUCUUGUUUUUUUUGACUGAAUCCCUAACCCUGCCCACACAACCUCGGGAUAUAGGAACUUCAAUAGUACUCAAAAAUUUAUAGAAGAUAAUAUUGAAUACAUACCAUCAUUGCAUUUGCUCAGUAUGUUCAGGAAGCAACCUUUGAAGAAAUGGAAAAGCUGGUGAAAGACAU
rnacentral:lncRNA from 1 species